CCCCAGGUCAAGAAAACAUGAACACUCCCGACCCCCAGGUGAUCCCCCAGCGCAAUCCUCUCGCUUCCGUUGAGAGGUACCCGCUAUCCUGAGUUUUGUGAUAAUAAUUUCCUUGUUCUUUAUAGCUUUACCACCUACUUAUGUUCUCCUAACAGAGUUUUAGAUCAUUGCGUGUGUGGCAUGAUACUAUAGGUAUUCGUUGGUUUUUUUCUUUUGUUUUUUUUUUUUUUUCAGGCUGCCCGAGCCAGCAGUGGCAACCCACUCUGGUCCCCUUCCACGCUGUAGGAGUGUUGUUCUUUCGCUCUUUGGGUCCACACUGCCUUUAUGAGCCGUUAACAUUCACUGUGAAGGUCUGCAGCUUCA
rnacentral:lncRNA from 1 species